rnacentral:rRNA from 1 species
GACGAACGCUGGCGGCAUGCUUAACACAUGCAAGUCGAACGGCAAGACACUGCUUUUUUGCGCUGCUCGAGUGGCGAAGGGGGAAGUAUCACGUAAGUAACCUGCCCUUCUCUUUGGGAUAACUUCAGGAAACUGGGGCUACUCUCGGAUAGGAGCUCCUGCUGCAUGGUGGGGGUUGGAUAGUUUCGGCUGUUGGGGAUGGACUCGCGGCUUACCAGCUUGUUGGUUGGGUAGUGGCGUACCCAGGCUUUGACCGGUAGCCGGCCUGGGAGGGUGACCGGGGACAAGAGUACUGAGAUACGCCGCAGAGGGCAACGGGAGGCAGUAGGGGCGAGUAUGGUACAGUGGUAGGAAGCCUGAGGCAGCAACGCUGCGUUCGGGAAGACGGCUUGCGGGGAGUAAACCGCGGUCGGCUGUGACGAAGCGGUAGUGACGGUAAUGGGUGAAGAAGCACCGGCUAACUACGUG